AGAGUGAACGCUGGCGGUAGGCCUAACACAUGCAAGUCGAACGGCAGCACAGUGGUAGCAAUACCAUGGGUGGCGAGUGGCGGACGGGUGAGGAAUACAUCGGAAUCUACCUUUUCGUGGGGGAUAACGUAGGGAAACUUACGCUAAUACCGCAUACGCCCUUCGGGGGAAAGCCGGGGAUCGCAAGACCUGGCGCGGAUAGAUGAGCCGAUGUCGGAUUAGCUAGUUGGUGAGGUAAUGGCUCACCAAGGCGACGAUCCGUAGCUGGUCUGAGAGGAUGAUCAGCCACACUGGAACUGAGACACGGUCCAGACUCCUACGGGAGGCAGCAGUGGGAAUAUUGGACAAUGGGCGCAAGCCUGAUCCAGCCAUACCGCGUGGGUGAAGAAGGCCUUCGGUUGUAAAGUCCUUUGUAGGAAAGAAAGCAAGUCGGUUAAUACCCGGUUGUU
rnacentral:rRNA from 1 species